rnacentral:rRNA from 1 species
GAUGAACGCUGGCGGCGUGCCUAAUACAUGCAAGUCGAGCGAACAGACGAGGAUUUUGCCUCUCUGACGUUAGCGGCGGACGGGUGAGUAACACGUGGAUAACCUACCUAUAAGACUGGGAUAACUUCGGGAAACCGGAGCUAAUACCGGAUAAUAUAUUGAACCGCAUGGUUCAAUAGUGAAAGACGGUUUUGCUGUCACUUAUAGAUGGAUCCGCGCCGCAUUAGCUAGUUGGUAAGGUAACGGCUUACCAAGGCAACGAUGCGUAGCCGACCUGAGAGGGUGAUCGGCCACACUGGAACUGAGACACGGUCCAGACUCCUACGGGAGGCAGCAGUAGGGAAUCUUCCGCAAUGGGCGAAAGCCUGACGGAGCAACGCCGCGUGAGUGAUGAAGGUCUUCGGAUCGUAAAGCUCUGUUAUUAGGGAAGAACAAAUGUGUAAGUAACUAUGCACGUCUUGACGGUACCUAAUCAGAAAGCAACGGCUAACUACGUG